rnacentral:rRNA from 1 species
CCUACGGGAGGCAGCAGUAGGGAAUAUUGCUCAAUGGGGGAAACCCUGAAGCAGCAACGCCGCGUGGAGGAUGAAGGUGUUCGGAGUGUAAACUCCUUUUGUUAGAGAAGAGAAUGACGGUAUCUAACGAAUAAGCACCGGCUAACUCCGUGCCAGCAGCCGCGGUAAUACGGAGGGGGCAAGCGUUACGCGGAAUCACUGGCGUAAAGAGCGCGUAGGCGGGAUAGCAAGUCCGAUGUGAAAUCCUAUGGCUUAACCAUAGAACUGCAUUUGAAACUGUUAUUCUAGAGUAUGGGAGAGGUCGGUGGAAUUCUUGGUGUAGUGGUCAAAUCCGUAGAGAUCACGCGGUAUCCUCAUUGCGACGGCGCCCUGCUAGAACAUAACUGCCGCUGAUGCGCGAAAGCGUGGGGCGCAAACAGGAUUCGCUACCCGAGUAGUC